AAGCGAUAAACAUAGGUGUUGCGGGGGCCUUGAAAGCCUUUGAGGGGUGUGCAAUCCAUCCGUCGUUUA
rnacentral:tRNA from 1 species